rnacentral:rRNA from 1 species
UACGAAGGGGGCUAGCGUUGCUCGGAAUCACUGGGCGUAAAGCGCACGUAGGCGGACUCUUAAGUCAGGGGUGAAAUCCUGGAGCUCAACUCCAGAACUGCCUUUGAUACUGAGAGCCUUGAGUCCGGGAGAGGUGAGUGGAACUGCGAGUGUAGAGGUGAAAUUCGUAGAUAUUCGCAAGAACACCAGUGGCGAAGGCGGCUCACUGGCCCGGUACUGACGCUGAGGUGCGAAAGCGUGGGGAGCAACAGGGAUU